UACAGAGGGUGCGAGCGUUAAUCGGAAUUACUGGGCGUAAAGCGUGCGUAGACGGCUAUCUAAGUCGGGUGUGAAAUCCCCGGGCUCAACCCGGGAACUGCGUCCGAUACUGGAAGGCUUGAAUCCGGGAGAGGGAUGCGGAAUUCCAGGUGUAGCGGUGAAAUGCGUAGAUAUCUGGAGGAACACCGGUGGCGAAGGCGGCAUCCUGGACCGGCAUUGACGCUGAGGCGCGAAAGCCAGGGGAGCAAACGGG
rnacentral:rRNA from 1 species